rnacentral:rRNA from 1 species
GACGAACCGUGCGAACGUUGUUCGGAUUCACUGGGCUUAAAGGGCGCGUAGGCGGAUUCGCAAGUCCGAGGUGAAAUACUUCAGCUUAACUGGAGAACUGCCCCGGAUCCUGCGAGUCUCGAGGGAGGUAGGGGCAUGCGGAACUUCCGGUGGAGCGGUGAAAUGCGUAGAUAUCGGAAGGAACGCCGGUGGCGAAAGCGGCGUGCUGGACCUCUUCUGACGCUGAGGCGCGAAAGCCAGGGGAGCAAACGGG